rnacentral:rRNA from 1 species
GAACGCAUGGAUCAAAGUCCGCCGAAAUGGCGCGUACUGGAUCUCUGCUUCCUAUCUUUCGGUAACGCUCAUCUUUCUUCACUGAAAGGUGUUGGGUUCCGAAUCGUUUACUUUGAAAAAAUUAGAGUGUUCAAAGCAGGCGUAACCUGGCCUUGAAUACAUUAGCAUGGGAUAAUAGAAUAUGACUUUGGGUCUUAUUUUGUUGGUUUCUAAGGCUCAAGUA